rnacentral:rRNA from 1 species
GGGGAAUCUUGCGCAAUGGGGGAAACCCUGACGCAGUGACGCCGCGUGAACGAUGAAGUCCUUCGGGAUGUAAAGUUCUGUCAGGCGGGAAGAACCUCCCCCCGAUGCAAAUCGGGGGGAAAUGACGGUACCGCCAGAGGAAGCACUGGCUAAUUCCGUGCCAGCAGCCGCGGUAAGACGGAGAGUGCAAGCGUUGUUCGGAAUUACUAGGCGUAAAGCGCGUGUAGGUGGUUAGUUAAGUCGGAUGUGAAAAUUCCAAGCUUAACUUGGAACUGGCAUUCGAAACUGGUUAACUUGAGUGUAGGAGAGGAGAGCGGAAUUCCUAGUGUAGCGGUGAAAUGCGUAGAUAUUAGGAAGAACACCGGUGGCGAAGGCGGCUCUCUGGCCUAAAACUGACACUGAGACGCGAAAGCGUGGGUAGCAAACAG